AAACGUUAUAUUUUUGGGCCGUUUGAGAUUGGUAGUAACUUUCAUUAAAUUUAUUACCGCAACAGUAACAAUGCUGUGGAGAAUCUGACUGAUCAAUGUUGUUUUCAUGAAGGUUCGAAAGGCUUGGUUUUUGAUUCGGAGUUGAACCCUUACCUUUUAAGACAUCGUCGAGAGAGGGAUCAUAAAUAUUUGUUCGGACAAUCGAAGGAUCUUCAAUGGUAACAGCUUUGGAACGAGGAAUUGAAGAAGAGGGAGGUGGAAGAAGUGGUACCAAUCCACGAGGAGUAUCAGCAAGGAUUUGGAAAUGACUUGUGGAAGGGGGACCUAUUUUCGAAGGCCGAGUAUCGGGGUUAACGUUAUAGUUGAUUAAUCCCCAUUGCUCUAGAAAUCUAUGGACACGCAAGACAGCACAUACAUCACCAGCCAAAUUCCUUCGGCAAGCCGUGAAAGUCAAAUAAACUUUGGAGUUCAAUCGAAAAGUACUAAUCAUAAAAUCUCGGUAUUCCUUAUAUACCUCUGGUGUUUUCGACGUAUUUUUUCCAUCAAAGAACUCAGGGUUUUGUUUUUUCUCAAUUUCGUGAACUUUAGAGAAAUCAAACCAUUGCGCCCACUCAGGGACUUCUACUUGUGGUAACUGGCUCAACAAAAAUUCUUUGGCCUCGUCUCUGACUUCUGGUUCAGUGUCCUCCUUUUUAGAAACAUCCAAUUCCAUUGGCUGAGCAGAAUCUGGUACCCCGUUUUCGUGUAAGUCAUGUUUAUUUUCAGUAACGUUGGACAUUGUGGUGU